UGGGGAAUAUUGCACAAUGGGCGAAAGCCUGAUGCAGCGACGCCGCGUGAGGGAUGACGGCCUUCGGGUUGUAAACCUCUUUCAGCAGGGACGAAGCGCAAGUGACGGUACCUGCAGAAGAAGCACCGGCUAACUACGUGCCAGCAGCCGCGGUAAUACGUGGGGUGCAAGCGUUGUCCGGAAUUACUGGGCGUAAAGAGUUCGUAGGCGGUUUGUCGCGUCGUUUGUGAAAACCAGCAGCUCAACUGCUGGCUUGCAGGCGAUACGGGCAGACUUGAGUACUGCAGGGGAGACUGGAAUUCCUGGUGUAGCGGUGAAAUGCGCAGAUAUCAGGAGGAACACCGGUGGCGAAGGCGGGUCUCUGGGCAGUAACUGACGCUGAGGAACGAAAGCGUGGGUAGCGAACAGG
rnacentral:rRNA from 1 species